rnacentral:rRNA from 1 species
UACAGGGGGGGCAAGCGUUGUUCGGAAUUACUGGGCGUAAAGGGCUCGUAGGCGGCCAACUAAGUCACACGUGAAAUCCCCAGGCUUAACCUGGGAACUGCGUGUGAUACUGGAUGGCUUGAAUUCGGGAGAGGGAUGCAGAAUUCCAGGUGUAGCGGUGAAAUGCGUAGAUAUCUGGAGGAAUACCGGUGGCGAAGGCGGCAUCCUGGACCGACAUUGACGCUGAGGAGCGAAAGCUAGGGGAGCGAACGGG